GGCAUUCAAAGUGGUGAUUAUUUAUGCAAGGAGAAGUCUCUAAUCGGAUACCUUGUUGGGCAGCAACUCCUCUUAAAAGAAACGAUGGGGACUGCUAAUGGAAAGAAAUUACAAUCCCUUUACAAAUCAAUCCACUUGAACCACAGCACCUCUGCUAGAAUUGUUCUUCCUGGAAAGGCUUUAUGUACAUCCAACAGGAAUGGCAGCACCAGCUGAAGCAUGAAGAACAACGCAAAGGCAGAAGUUGAGCUGUCAUCAUGCUGGCAGCACAGCUUUAAGACACCUCUGAGGCUUUAGAGGCUGUGGACCUGGAACCUCGCUUUACAGUCUUCUGAGGGAAUGAAGGAAUACUGCCACAGCACAGGCUUAUGGAAGAGUGGAUGCAUAAGAGGUAAAACGUGUUAUGUACAGCCUGCUCUAAGGCUUUGUGAGAUGAGUGUUGGAAGCUCAAGUGCUCUCUCCAUGUGCCUUAUUUUUUGACCAGAGGCAGGAAGAAAGAAUAAAGUAGGACUUUCCAAGAGUGAUGCUUUCCUGCAGUUCCAAGAACUGGGUCAUGAGUUGAGUUUCAAGCUUGCACCUGAACAUGUGAUACAGUCAGAGCUGUACAGCUGCAAGCCUGGCUUUCCCAAGAAAAAAAGCUUGUUUCCACUGUGGAGGAUUGUAUUUCCUUACAUAAAAGAUGAGAUCCCAUGCUACUCGUCUGGGAGAUAAAUCCUCUCGUGGCUCUGCUUUGACA